GACGAACGCUGGCGGCGUGCUUAACACAUGCAAGUCGAACGGAAAGGCCCUGCUUGUGGGGGGUGCUCGAGUAGCGAACGGGUGAGUAACACGUGAGUAACCUGCCCGUGACUUUGGGAUAACUUCAGGAAACUGGGGCUAAUACCGGAUAGGAGCUCCUGCUGCAUGGUGGGGGGUGGGAAGUUUCGGCGGUUGGGGAUGGACUGGCGGCUUAUCAGGUUGGUGGGGGGGUAGUGGCCUACCAAGGCGGUGACGGGUAGCCGGCCUGAGAGGGUGAUCGGCCACACGGAGACUGAGACACGGCCCAGAGGGCUACGGGAGGCAGCAGUAGGGAAGCUUCGGCAAUGGACGCAAGUCUGACCGAGCAGCGCGGCGUGAGUGAAGAAGGGUGUCGGAUCGUAAAACUCGGUUGUUAGAGAAGAACAAGGAUGAGAGUGGAAAGUUCAUCCCGGGACGGUAUCUAACCAGAAAGCCACGGCUAACUACGUG
rnacentral:rRNA from 1 species